UACGUAGGGCGCAAGCGUUGUCCGGAAUUAUUGGGCGUAAAGAGCUCGUAGGUGGCGUGUCGCGUCUGCCGUGAAAGCCCAUGGCUUAACUGUGGGUCUGCGGUGGAUACGGGCAGGCUGGAGGCUGGUAGGGGCAAGCGGAAUUCCUGGUGUAGCGGUGAAAUGCGCAGAUAUCAGGAGGAACACCGGUGGCGAAGGCGGGUCUCUGGGCCGAAGUUGACGCUGGAGGAGCGAAAGCGUGGGGAGCAAACAGG
rnacentral:rRNA from 1 species